AAGUCGUAACAAGGUUUCCGUAGGUGAACCUGCGGAAGGAUCAUUAGAAAAUUGAGGUAUUCGUAUCUCUUUGUAUUUAAAACCUUACUCUAUAAAACUUUAUAUAUAUAAAAUAUAAAUAUAAAAACUUUCAACAAUGGAUCUCUUGGCUCUC
rnacentral:misc_RNA from 1 species